rnacentral:lncRNA from 1 species
AGGGGGGUGGCUGAGGGUGUGGAGCUGUGGGGUGAAUCUGGAGGGUUGGGUGAGCCUCAGCAAUGCAUACUGGGUGUGGUGCUGAACCCCGGGAGUCCUGAACUAAACAGAAUAUACACUGCCCUUCAAAGCCUGGAGGUCCAGGGGAGGAGAGAUAGCCCAGCCUUGAGAAGGCCCAAGAAAUGGAGGUGAUGAAGUUGAGUUGGAGGCCAAGCUUCCCUCUGACACUCUGCUCAUCUGCCCUCCUGCCGGAUCCCCAAGUCCUUCUCUAAGCAUAUGCGGACAAGAGAGAUCCCCGUCCGAUGACUCCACGUGUGCCAUGGUGGGGACACUGCCAGAUGAGAGGGUCCAGGCAAGCAGAUCUUCUUGUGGAAAACUUGGUGACAGUACCCUUUCUGAGUCAGUUUCCUUAUCUGUACAGUGUAGACGUGGGCCAGAAGCUGUAGAGAGUCUCCGUGUUCUUCAGGCUUAGGCGGGUCAUUGGGUACAGCCAGGUGUAUUUUGGUACCUGGACUAAGGGGACAAGUGGGAUGACUAAGAGAUCUUCCCAGAUGGAAGGCCUGGCAUGGGUGCAUGUGGAAGUAUUCAUGGAGGAGACUUCAGCCGCCCAUCAGUGCUCUGCCCCGCCCCUCAGCGGUUGAUGGACAAACGGUUCCCUUGGAGACUGAUCUUUCAUCUCUGGCAUGGGACACACGCUUAGUGGCUUAAGGAGCCAGCCUUGGGAAGAAAUAGUGAAACUCAUAGACGCCUGUCUUCACUUUCUGCCUCUUUAAAGAUUUUUGUUUGCUUGCUUGCUUGUUUAAGAGCUGAAGAUGGCUCAUGUGUUAAACGCAUCGCAUCUGAUGCUCUUACAUAAAACCCAGGUUCAGUUCCCAGCACCCAGCAAGUGGCUCACAACCACCUGUGAUCCCAGUUCUGGGGGGAAUCUAGUGCCCCUUCUGGCCUCCUCAGGAACUGCACACAGGAGGUGCAUGUACAGACAUGGUCGGGGAACAUACUCAUACUGAUAAAAUAAAAAUAAUUCUUUUUAAAAA